UCGGUCGUGAUCCUGUCGCUUCCCGGAUCCUAUCUGAACCGCCUCGCUCGCACCUUAAUAUAAAGCAAGCCUAAAGAACGGCGAUGUCUCUCUUUUCCUCCUCCCCUUUUUUCCCUUCUCCGGAGUUCGACCGUUUCUGCGAUGUUUCAGCCAGGGUUUCGAGGACGGGGCGGACAUGGUUUCGAUGACAGCGGGUGAGAUUGUUCUGAUCCUUUUCUUUCGCAUCCCCUCUUUUGAUUCUCGUAUUUCUUAUAGAAUCUUCCUUUGAUGGAUCUCUGGUCGAUCGGCGUCCUAAAUUAUCUCGCUGAGGUUUUCUCAUUCUCUUACAUUUCUUGAGGUCUUGUGGCGAUUGAUAUGCUAGAGUUUUGUUCUUGCUUCUGAUUCUUGUUCAUGCGAUAUUCUUUCGUUUUCUUUAGGAUUUUGGUUCGUUCUGAUCACCCGAAGUGAUCAAGAAUGCCAACAUUUUACAUAGCCCUGAUAAUAAGGACAAGAUUUUUGUUUUCUUAUUUUACUCGUUCCAUGAUCGUAUUUUCUCAUUUCAUGCCAGGAAACCCAGCAAUGAUUGAUGGACAGUUAUGAGAUAAUUGUCAAGAACUAAAGUAAAUAUUCCUUAUUUUUAAAAUUCUAUAUUUUUAUUCUUUUAGUUUUCUUUCUAGUUCAUGGGAUUCUUGAUUUGCUCAAGAAAUUCAGCAAUGGGGUUAGCAGAAUCAUGAGAAAGUUGCCUUCUGCAGUGAUUUUUUUCCCCCGUUAAAGCAUCGAGAGAUGACUGUUUAUGUGAUAACAUGGGACAAUUUGUUACACUGAACUUGUUCUUGGCAUGAGGCUGUCUCUGUCAGAAGCAUGUGUGCAGUUAUCUCUAGAGUUAGAUUCUUGGCCAUUAAUCUCAGAUUUGCACACCAGAAGUCUAGCCAAUAGUAGAAGGCUGCGAUAGGUGCAUAUUUUGCCAUAAAGUAACUUAAGAUUGAGAACGAAGUAAUAAAUUUGCAAGUGAGAUCUUAUUCUAUUUCACUUUUACUAAUUAUUUUCUUUUCCCUGAGAACUUUAUCUAAAAUGUAACUUCUUUUUUCCCUCUUUCGGGGUGGGGGGAGGGGGUAUUUUCAGAUCUGGGACAGAGCAGGACAGGAAAGGUCUCAGAGUCUUGGAGUGGCAUUUUGUAGAGGGACUGAUUGCUGCAUACUGGUUUAGGAUGCCAAUGAUCUGUGGUCUGUUGAAAACCCUUGGAUUCUGGCACCGGGAGUUUCUGGAAAAGGAUGGACCGUAUGUGCACAUUAAGUAUCAAAUCCUUGAUUUGAAUGGGGUUGAUGCAAAUCUGGAAGGAUAGCUUUACUCUGGAGUUGUGCCAUUUGAAUUCUACAUGUCAAGCCUUAUCUGUCUUGCCCCUCCUGAAAAUUGCAAUCACUUUUUUGCAUUUAUUGCUUCUACACUGGAACAAGUGAAAGGAGUCUGGAGGGCUGUUAUGAGAAGUUCGGCAGGCAGUUGGCUAUUUGAAAUUUUGAAUGAUUUGAUACAUGUAGAACGUAUUAGUUUUUGUGACAAGAAAUCAUGUUAGUAUUGCAUCUAAUAUUUGCUAGUUUUUGGCAUAUGAACGACAUCUGAUAUUGAUGAUCAUCUCCAGUGCUUGGAUGACUGAGAUCAAACAGAGACUUUAACUCUGACAGUUGUAAUCACAUUGAGAUAAUUAAUUGGAUUGGUUGAACAGAUGGAUGGCUAUGAAAUUAUGAUUACGCAUGAGAAAGAUAGGGAAGUUAGUGAGGGAUUAUGAUCUAAUUGAGUUUAGAAUUAGGGAUCAAUUAUCGGAGCGAUCUGGCCUAGGGAUGUCUUUUCCAGAAAAGGAUUCACAAUAUCUGUAGGUAGCCUUAGUUCAUGUACUUGCACCAGUGGUCAACAAUUAGUUGUGAAGAUUUGGCCAUUAUAGAACUUUUUAUAAAUUUAAAUUAUUGCUGGAAACUUGACUAAAGUGAGCCUCUACAAGAUGGGUUCUGUCUCUCAGGCACUUCUGUGUACAUUUUCUAAAAUUACUCAGGCUUGUUGAGAUAUAUGCUAUAUGCUGUUUUCUGGGGAUACAAGGAAUGGGGAUUUCCUUUGAACUUGCAGGUUCAUAGGAAACUUAUGCAAAGAUUUCAAUUGUGCAGGCUGUUUUUGGGUAGUGAUAUAGAGGUGUAUCAGCAGAGGCAAGACCAACGGAUGGAUGAUUAUCCCCAAAACUCAGAUCUAAACCUUCGAAAUUCUCCUUUCCUUCACUUUCCAAGCACUCUGCUUGAUAUGCUGAUUGAUUGUUAUAGUUGAUGGUUUUACAUACAAUAUAUAUGGGUUCAUGGAAGAGCCAGGAUCCGGUAUUGAGACCAAAGGAUAUAGGACCAGUUGUAAGGGGGAGAAAUAGGGCAAGAAAAUGACACAUAAUUUCAGCGGCUCAAAUGAUGAUCGGGCAAAGAGAAUAUAUUGCAUAAAGGCAGAUCUGACAAUUUUGUUGUAAGGGGAUUCAGCCAAGAGUAAUCAGUUGGAUUUCCGCUCUACCUUGGUUUGGUUUUCCGUUCAACUUGUGUUUCAUGAGGCUAGUUCUGCCUCAAAUAUUUUUUUUUUUUUUUUUGAUACAUCGGCACCUCACACACAACGGGGCAUGAGUACAGCCCAAAAAGUCAGAAAGUAAGAGCCCAUUGGUUUUGUUGCUCUUAUUCUCUUCUGGUUCUUCCCGUCUUUGUUCUCUGUAGAUUCGGCUGACACUGUAUUUCUCCUUUGCUCCACGAAAACAAAAAACAAAAAAAGAAAGGAAAAAAUUAGGCAGAUGGCACAUUGGUCAGCCUUGCGCAAGUCUCACACCCUCGCAGGUCUGUCGUCAUAUUAGAUUCUCCCGCCGUCUAUAUGUUAUCUUUCUCGGUAGGUAUGUACAAUUUUAGGCGGCUGCACGAAUGAGCAUCAUAGCCAACAAUCUCUGGAAAUUCGUGGUACACCCGUCGAACGUGUUACACGUUCUUUAGCAAAGUUUGAGACUGGCAGAUAAGAACAAUCCGGCUUUCUAACAACUCCUCUUUCAGUCAACGAGACUCGCAUUUUAGAUUCCAUUAUCUUGGGCCAGUCGGCUUUCCCACACUUCAUUCAGUGGCUCAUCAAGUAUGAAAAAUUAUACACUGCUAGGCAAAAGUCUUGCAAGUCGCUUGGAGGACCAACCUUCUGAAGAAUAAUGGUAAGAUGCGAAACGUGGCUUGCUUGGAGAGCUAACCUUCUGAAACAAUUUCCAAUUUCCAGGAGUCCUUUGUAUCAGGGCAACGCGUCCCUAUCUGACAACAUUUUCUAGCAGCAACCGAAUCUUCUGUCUCUUUUGUGGUGGUGCUGAAUUCACUCUCAGUUUUUCAGUUGAUAUACCAAUAUAUGCACUUGGCAAACCUUACCCAUUUGUACCAUAUGAUUGUGCCUUGCCGUUAUGCUCGACUGUCCUGACAAACAGUACAGUGGAAUAAAAGGUGCCGAGGUUCUAA